GAGGGUAUAGCUCAGUGGUGGAGUGCAUGCCUAGCAUGCACGACGUCCUGGGUUCAAUUCCCAGUACCUCCU
rnacentral:tRNA from 1 species